AUUGAACGCCGGCGGCAUGCCUUACACAUGCAAGUCGAACGGUAACGGGCCUUCGGGUGCCGACGAGUGGCGCACGGGUGAGUAAUACAUCGGAACGUGCCCGAUCGUGGGGGAUAACGAGGCGAAAGCUUUGCUAAUACCGCAUACGAUCUACGGAUGAAAGCAGGGGACCGCAAGGCCUUGCGCGGACGGAGCGGCCGAUGGCAGAUUAGGUAGUUGGUGGGAUAAAAGCUUACCAAGCCGACGAUCUGUAGCUGGUCUGAGAGGAUGAUCAGCCACACUGGGACUGAGACACGGCCCAGACUCCUACGGGAGGCAGCAGUGGGGAAUUUUGGACAAUGGGCGCAAGCCUGAUCCAGCCAUGCCGCGUGCAGGAUGAAGGCCUUCGGGUUGUAAACUGCUUUUGUACGGAACGAAAAGCCUUCUUUUAAUACAGGAGGGUCAUGACGGUACCGUAAGAAUAAGCACCGGCUAACUACGUG
rnacentral:rRNA from 1 species